CUACCCUUUUGUGGUUUCAGCAUAGGCAGGAGGUAUGACCAUUGUGACUGAGGAGGAGAAAUCCUAGAAAUGCAGAAAUAAGGGGUUCAUAACUUGACAUAAAGACCUCAGAUUAUUGUUGGAAAAUAGAGUCAGGGGGUGUUUUAUGUAUGUUGUACCAAACUUUCACUGAAAUAAUGAACACGAGUCUCCACGAUGCUCCCAGGAACUAGCUGGUUGAGCCUUUGCAGGUUGAGUCCUAUUAACUCUUCAGAUGAACCCUCAGUGACAGGCCUUGUAACAACUACAGUUGGAGAGACGAGCAGGACCUGUUAGGACUGUUUCAGACAUCACCCAUGGCUUCCUUUGUGACCUGUGGAACAAAUUUAAGAUAAACUUAAUGCACUGGUUUAAUGACUGGAGAUUAUCCUAAAAUCGUGGAGUCAGAGUUUGAGCUGUGCUUAUCCUAUUGUUCCGUGGCAGUCUUGAGUAGCUGUCCAGUCAUAUACAAAAACACAAGAGUCUCUUCCCUUAGGGAGAGCUGAGUGUGGAGAAAAAUCUUCUGUACAGACAUCAUGGGUGUUGACAGACAUAGAGAUGGGAAUAAUUUACAAUUAAAUGACGACUAGUUGCUGCAAAAGGGUUGAUACAGAGUUUGGAAUAAUUCAAGAUCAUAGAUGAGAAUUAAUUAGAACGUGAGGGAGUUGGAACUUCAGUUCUCCCAGUUGAACCAGGUACUCUUGAGAAUCCUGGUUGUAGCUGGUAGAUUUAUAAUUUUAUAUUAUUCCUGUCUGUACUCUGCUGGGAUUUUAAGACCAUGUAGAUGCCAACAGCUUUCUUUUGUUGCUGGCAGUUUCUCUUUGAAGGUUAUUUUCAGGGGUGUUGGAGACAUUUAGGGGCCCUUUCUCUUUAGUUUCUUAUAUUCAUCAUUUUCUGGACAAGGAUAUUUCUAAGUGAAUCUGGGACUCUGGGGUCUCCAUAUCCUCUCUGAAGCUGUCAUAUUGUUUUAGAGCUACCCCACUGUCCUCGAUGCUAGGACAUGGCCAACCUGGAGGUGAAGGUGAAAAAUCUUUGCCCUCAGCCCAGCCCUUUCAUUCUCAUUGCUUUAGCCCUCUAGUGGUAGCCAUUGCAAUCUCAGAAAGACAGUUACACCAGACUUGCAGAACAAAUAGUGGUUUUAAUCUGUUUCAUAGCUUCAUGUGUGACCAGUUCACAGCCAAGGAUACAUAUGAAUAUCACCAAAUUAAAUUCAGGGGAGGGAGUUUUGCAAAUAUAUUUUAGGAACUUGAUUGUGUGGUCCUCAAGCAUGAAUUAGAAGAUCACUUUGUAUCAUAACAUCAAAAGGUUAGAUACUUCAGAUGAAUACAUAUCGUAAAAACACAUAUUAAAUCAAUCUUAACUCUGAGAAGACUCCAUUGUUAGGAAGUUAAAGUUGUGACCCACUCAGUUAUCUUAGUAAACCAAACAUGUAAUGAAAAAGCUGUUUUAGAAACCCAUACCACUUUACAUUGAGUGUCCUAAGCCUUGUGACAUACAAAAACGUCUGCAUUUUCAACAUCUCUUACCCAUCGUGUAGAGUGAAAAGAACUUUUUGUAUGAAUCCCUCUUCCCAUGAGCUUAUUCUCGCCAUCAGAAAUGCAUUUCUUUGCUUGCAUCUGUUUAUGGGCUGCUUCCUUCCUUUGUUAAAUCCAGAUGUACUUCAGGUGUCUUGUUUUCCUGGAAGGUAUAAAACCAUGAAACAGCAAACAUCAUGUUUUGUCUUUUACAAAAUGGAAUUAGAUCCACAUUAUUAUCAAGUGUUACACUGUUACUUGUUAAUGUGCUUUUUACUAUCUGGCUUUAAUAACCAUGUGACAUUCUUUGUUAAAUGCUGAUAUCUCCUUUUGCUUAACAAAUUUAAAAUAAUUCAGGAUGUUAGAUUUGCUUGUAUUUCAUGAAUUAAAGGAAAUUUGAACUAA
rnacentral:lncRNA from 1 species